UACGAAGGGGGCUAGCGUUGUUCGGAAUUACUGGGCGUAAAGCGCACGUAGGCGGGUUGUUAAGUCAGGGGUGAAAUCCCGGAGCUCAACUCCGGAACUGCCUUUGAUACUGGCAAUCUAGAGACUGGAAGAGGUUAGUGGAAUUCCCAGUGUAGUGGUGAAAUUCGUAGAUAUUGGGAAGAACACCAGUGGCGAAGGCGGCUAACUGGUCCAGUACUGACGCUGAGGUGCGAAAGCGUGGGGAGCGAACAGG
rnacentral:rRNA from 1 species